AUUGAACGCUGGCGGAAUGCUUUACACAUGCAAGUCGAACGGCAGCACGGACUUCGGUCUGGUGGCGAGUGGCGAACGGGUGAGUAAUACAUCGGAACGUGCCCAGUCGUGGGGGAUAACGUAGCGAAAGCUACGCUAAUACCGCAUACGAUCUACGGAUGAAAGCGGGGGAUCGCAAGACCUCGCGCGAUUGGAGCGGCCGAUGGCAGAUUAGGUAGUUGGUAGGGUAAAGGCCUACCAAGCCGACGAUCUGUAGCUGGUCUGAGAGGAUGAUCAGCCACACGGGGACUGAGACACGGCCCAGACUCCUACGGGAGGCAGCAGUGGGGAAUUUUGGACAAUGGACGCAAGUCUGAACCAGCCAUUCCGCGUGCAGGAUGAAGGCCCUCGGGUUGUAAACUGCUUUUGUACAGAACGAAAAGGCUCUGGUUAAUACCUGGGGCUCAUGACGGUACUGUAAGAAUAAGCACCGGCUAACUACGUGCCAGCCGCCGCGGUAA
rnacentral:rRNA from 1 species